CGUGCAACAGACAUAAACUUCAAAAGAUUGACAUUUCAUUCCCAAAAUGUAUUUCUUCAAUCAUCCAUCCAUCUGUGGUAGUAUCCCCAUUACAAAAACAAGGUCGUCCUUUUUUUUUUUUUUUUUUUUUUCUCUCUCUAUAUCCUUCUCUUCUGUUUGCCUACCUUAAGUCCUUUUCCCCAAAGGCCACCAUAAUAUGUACUUCAAAAUACUGUUAUUUACAGCAGGUUAAUCAUGUGAUUCAUCUUUCUACCUUCAGGAGACACCAGCUUUGGCCUUUUUGCAGCCUGUUCAUCUGAUUCUGAAACCAAAUCUUUAUUGCUCAUCACCACAUUAUUUUUCCGGACAAUGUUUUCGUUUAAGCUAUUCAACGGAUGAGGCGGCUUCAUUUCCAGUAUGCAUGCCCUUUGCCUCUUGAGAAUCUUCAACAAUAUAAGUUAAAAUGUCCUCGGUCGAAGUUGAAGAUUCUUGUCCCUCAGUUUUUCUUGCAUUACCAUAUCCCUGUGGAUGAUCAUCUAACCCUAUUUCUGAUAAUUUCUGGGAUUCAUUCCUAUAUGUUCCAGAACUUGAGUCGUCAUCGUAAGGUUCCUCAAUCUGCAUAUAGUUCUGUUUCCAAGAAUCUUCUGUAUCUGACGAUGAAUCAGAGAAUUGCUCACCAAUUUCUU
rnacentral:misc_RNA from 1 species